GGGGAGAAAUCUUUUGUGUUUCUUCAGUUGUAUUCAAUGUACAAAACUUAGUAAUUAUAAUAUAAGAUGUACAUGAAGAAAAUGUAAUGAAAUAUUCUACAAAUCAAUCUAAUAUCUCAAUCUAAUCUUUAAUUAAUGUAGUGUAUGAUUAUAAUCAAAUCGGAUUCCCAGUAGAUCUUCCGAAUCUUCAAGCAUAUCUUCCAAAAAAAAAGCAAGAAACUUUAAUAAUUGCAACACGAUCCACAAUGUAUGAAGUCGUACUGUCUAUAUGCAUCAGGAGGCUGACAUAACACUAACCUUCAAUAAUUGCAACGUGAUCCACGGCAAAAAAGCAACUUAACUUUGAGCCGUUUAAACUCUUAACCUCGCUUUGUUCUGUCUUUCUCCCUCCUCCUCCUCCUCCUUUGCAUUUGAGAUAUAUAUAUAUAUAUAUAUAUAUCAGUAGUAGCAUCAGAGGAACGAUUGUGGACGUGUGGGGUUGGUACUUGUUAGGGAAGGAGAGAGACGCAAGGAUUUGAAGUUUGUAGAGAAUUGGAAAGAGGUUAUUGAAUUGUUAACGAGGUGCUGUCAAUCAAUGCAAUCGUCGGGUUUUCUUUAAAAAUAUUAAAGUGAGGUUUUGAGAAAUAAGUGAUGAGUAUAAUUAGUAAUUUCUUUUGAAAAAAAUGAAAAGGUGCUUGUCAUGGACCUUCAAUUUCUCUCAGUGGAUUUUAAACGCUUUCCGAAGAGAUCAGAACUCACCCCGACCGUGAACUGAUUAGUCUGAUCCUGUGGAACAUCUGGAAGGCGAGAAACAACCGGAUCUUUCGUGCAAAGGAACCCCAACCAGCAAAUCUGUUGAUAAUAGCAAAGGAACAACAGCACUCGUUCAGCACGGGUAGAUAAAAAAAAAACUAACGAUCUCUCAACCCAAACCAACCUGGUCACUAGAGGCCUCCGGAAGAGCGAAAUCUGAAGCUGAAUGUAGACGCAUCGUGGAGACCCGGCGAUUUCCUCUGCUCUGUCGCCGGUAUCGUACGAGAUGCAACUGGAAGGGCUCUCGACGGCUUCACGGCCACAGCUAGGGUUUCCUCGGUAGGUGAAGCGGAAGCUCAAGCACUCUCACACGGGAUUUCGUUUAUGCACGAACUCAAGACGAACCACGUGCGGGACUUUGGAAGCCGAACUGGAAGAUGCUUCAUAGAAAGUGAU
rnacentral:lncRNA from 1 species